rnacentral:rRNA from 1 species
GACACGACUCUCGACAAUGGAUAUCUUGGCUCUUGCAUCGAUGAAGAGCGCAGCGAAAUGCGAUACGUGGUGCGAAUUGCAGAAUCCCGCGAACCAUCGAGUCUUUGAACGCAAGUUGCGCCCGAGGCCAACCGGCCAAGGGCACGUUCGCCUGGGCGUCAAGC